CCCAUCCCCGCCGUGGCGGGAAGCCAGCCGCAGGGCUGGAGGGGCGGCUGGGUGCGGGGCCAGGCGGCAACGGGACCCACCCCUGCUCCGCUUUCCCCCUGCCGCGCUCACCCCAUCCCCCGGGAAGCCGGAGCCCAGCGCGCCGCAUUCGCCUUUUCCCCCCUGCAGGCGGCCGCGGGAAGCAGCGUGAUUCACCCGGGUCAGCCGCGGCUGCAGCUGCGGAAGGCCAAGCAGCCCCUGCUGUCCUGGGCUGGCGUGUGGAAGUACCUGCUGCCCCUGUGUUGGCGCUGAUUUCCCCAUCUCCAAGAAUCAUGUGAUUGCAUACAACGCUCAGCAUUUUUUUUAAAGAGAAAGAUUAUAGCCCUCAUGGUUACACAGAAAAACUUGAAAAUGAGAUCUCAGUGGCUCAAAAAUCAGAAGGCAACGCCCUUCCCUCUCCUCCCCAAAUUCAUAGUGAAUUAUUUUUCAAAAAUCUCAUAAUUCUUGGGGCCUGACUUACACUACUGAACACUUGCAGUUGGCAAUACUGGGAGCCACAUAUUUGGCCAAAGUUAUAAGGCCCUCUUCCAACCUCAUUUCUUGACAAGAAUUACUUUAAGGAGGACAGGAAAAUCCUGUGCUCUUCUCUGCUACCUGCAUUAGUGGAACCUAAACUGGCCGCCUUUGUUCCUUGAACAGAAACCAAUGCCCAUAAGCCUGUGCUCCAAAUUCCAAAAAUAUCCUUGGUUGGGAACAGAAGGUGAACUCAUGAGAAGAGGCUCUGAAAAUAGUGGCUAAUGCCAUCCUCUAUGUCCAACAGGAUACACUUGAAAAGGAAUGGCAAGGCCAGCUGGCUUAACAGGCUCCCACCUGUGGCAGGCAGGAUGUCUGAUGUGAUGACAUUAGACUUGGAAUAUUGCCCAGUUUGUGUUGCUAUUACAUAAUCUCUGGGCAACAGCUUACACUAAAUUUAGAGAGAGAGAAUAGUAGAUGAAUGAGCGAGAAGAUUCACCUCUCAUUUAAGUCCUGCUCCAAAGCCCACUGAAAUCAAAGCAAAGACUACCACUGACUUCAAUGGAUUUUGAAUCAGACUGCUACUUGAGUUCAACACCAUUUCAGUGGUACAGUUCUUAAUUAGUACUAGUGUAAACAAGAAUCUGGUCCAAUGUACUUUUGUUCCGCAUGUAACCAAUGUUAUAAAAAUAACAAGAUUUAUAACAGAAACAUUUAGCUAUCUUAACUCUACUGAUCCUCUAAGGCACUGUUAACAUACUGUAAAUGUUUUUGUGCUUGAAUUAAUAAGACAUUUCUGAACUUCUUCAGCAAAAUUUAUUUUAUAAACAAUUUUUUGUUACUAUAGUUGGACAAUCAGAGUUGAGUUUGAGGUCAAAGGUUGAAAUAAGAUCCUUUUGAUGGGUUAGUUGGUCUUUGCACUUUAUCAUACUUAGCUGGAGAAGGAAAGUUGAAAGCAUUUUGGACUGAGCCCAAAUCCUUGUAUUCUAGUGGCCAUGGCAAAGGCGGUGCAGAAUUACUUACACUGCAAAUGAAAAUCGCUCUCUCUCUUUUCCUAUUAGUUUCCUUGUCUGUUUAUAGAUACAGACUUGGCUUUGUAACACU